rnacentral:rRNA from 1 species
UACGUAGGGGUGCGAGCGUUUGUCCGGAAUUAUUGGGCGUAAAGAGCUCGUAGGCGGUCUGUCGCGUCUGCUGUGAAAACUCAGGGCUUAACCCUGAGCUUGCAGUGGGUACGGGCAGACUAGAGUGCGGUAGGGGGAGACUGGAAUUCCUGGUGUAGCGGUGAAAUGCGCAGAUAUCAGGAGGAACACCGGUGGCGAAGGCGGGUCUCUGGGCCGUAACUGACGCUGAGGAGCGAAAGCAUGGGGGAGCGAACAGG